CAGUCGCCGCGGUAAAACGAAGGGUGCAAGCGUUACUCGGAAUUACUGGGCGUAAAGCGUGUGUAGGUGGUUGUUUAAGUCUGUCGUGAAAUCCCCGGGCUCAACCUGGGAAUGGCAAUGGAUACUGGCAAGCUAGAGUGUGUCAGAGGAUGGUGGAAUUCCCGGUGUAGCGGUGAAAUGCGUAGAGAUCGGGAGGAACAUCAGUGGCGAAGGCGGCCAUCUGGGACAACACUGACGCUGAGGCACGAAAGCGUGGGGAGCAAACAGGAUUAGAGACCCCCGUAGUCCCUGUCUCUUAUAC
rnacentral:rRNA from 1 species